rnacentral:rRNA from 1 species
ACGCUCGACACCUACGGGAAGCAGCAGUGAGGAAUAUUGGUCAAUGGGCGCAGGCCUGAACCAGCCAAGUAGCGUGAAGGAUGACUGCCCUAUGGGUUGUAAACUUCUUUUAUAUGGGAAUAAAGUUUUCCACGUGUGGAAUUUUGUAUGUACCAUAUGAAUAAGGAUCGGCUAACUCCGUGGCAGCAGCCGCGGUAAUCUGAGCGGGCUGGCAAGGC